AUCGAUAAAAACAUUUGAUCUCAAUACAACUUUCAGUUCCCAAAACUAUAAUCUGUUACGAACAGAGUGGACCAAGAUUUGUAGACUUUACUCCAUUUCUAAAACGUGCGUUGUUUAGAAGGAGUGACAAUACCGAAAUUAGUUAUUACAUACGCACUUCACAGAGAAGGCGUUCCCUAACGGAAAUAUGCAACGUUGCUAGAACGCGCCAAUAGGAUCUUGCUUGUUCUGCCCACUAUGACUAAUUUGUUCCCAUUAGAAACGACAGGGUGUGGUCUGUCUCAGUUAUAAAAAAAAUAUUUGAUCUUAGCUACAACACGGGAGACCUUUAUUUUGAAGACUGAUGAUUUGUGGUCACAACAAACAUUACUGACACCUACCCAUGAGCCCACUAUUUUCCCAUUUACUAUAACAAGCAUCCUCAACCACUGAGCACCGACCAACACUGGAUGUCCAUGGACGUUGAAAACGUUUCAAGCCUCCAAGCUAGCUAGCUACCUACCUAACGUUAACAUACCGUCGUAGCAGCAUUUUAGCAGCUUGUUUUGCUGGCGAUAUGGAUUCAAACGGUUUGUCUCUGGCGUUUAUAAGUAAUGUUUUCCUAAAAUGCUUCACCCAAAAUGUAUUUCUGUUCAAGAUUAGAGAAGGAAAAUGCGGGCAGUAUGUAAAACAAUAUUUGGUUAAAUUCACAUAGCUAGUGACUAGCAGCUAGGCGUGCACUAACUGGGUAAAAACCCAUAGUGGAGUCAACACCUGUAUGAAAGUGUUGCGACAUAAAACGUCUGCGAUUCCUUCAGGGCAUUUCCAUCGAAAUGGACCCAUGGGCACCAACAUGUUAAGACAGCAUCUUGUCUCAGCCUUGCCUUCUCUGACCUGGAGGAGUGUGUUCAGUCUGUCUCUGACCUUGAGCACCUGAAGACACUGCUACAGCAUCAAAGACACCUGGGACACCUAAACAGAGAUCAUUUGUUCUACGACUCUGACACCAUCCUGUCCGCUCUGACCCUCACUUCCUUGGUAAACUCGAAACAAACUUCAGUGGAGGCUUGAGGUUGUGACACUAGUUCUGGACAGCAGAAACCAGGAUCAUCACUACACGCCCAAUGGCCGUCGACGGGAAGGACAUUCGGAGCAGAGUACAUUACAUACCUCUGUGCACUGUUCAUGGCGAUUGCCAAACUGUGUUAUUGAUAACUGGUUGUUAUUACUAGUUGGAACAAUAUUAAGUUAAGCGACAGUGCUUUUUCCAUUAGACUAGUCAGGCUACUUUUAUCUGCUGUUUCCAUUGUGGCUGUAGCUACUCCACCAACAGAGCUUUAUUUGAGCUGGAUCCUGCCGAUAUAGGAACCAGUUUUCCCGGAUCCGGUACCUCUUGUGGCAUGAAACAUAAUUUUCACUGUUUGCAAUGUAAAAUUCUAAUAAGAGCAGUCAGAGUUAAAUACGUUGACUAUUCCCCAAAAGUGAAGUCUGUUUUUAUUUUUUGGGGGGGAUAUUGGUACCCUAAAGCCAAGGAUUUAAUGGUUGAAUUAAGUAAGACAUUAAUUCUAAUGACAUGUAUUCUAUUUUAGCUCUAAAUAUAGGUAACCAAUGGGCAACUAAGAUUCCAAAUUGUAGAUUUUAACAAGUUACACAAUUCAGUAUUUCAUAAUAUAUUCCCUUCAGACCUGGGUUCAAAUACUAUUUGAAAUCUCUGAAAUGUGUUUAGCGUUUGCUUUAGCUUGCCUAGAGUGCCAGAUGGGUGUGGUUUGCGGUUUUGUGACUACUCUAUUGGUUCCAUUGUGAAAUUAUUUCAAAUAGUAGACUAUUUGAAGUUGAAAUCAGGUCUACUUCUAUAGCUGGUGAGGUAGUGGUUACUGCUGUUACCACAAUUCCUAGAAGCCGACAUGUUUCAAAAUGUUAAAAUGCACCACAUUGUUGGGAAGUUGAUGUGAUGUAACAAUGAGUUGACCUCCUAGAAAAACCCAUCUGCUUGAGCUGCUCUUUGUUGAGUUCUUCUAUGGGGGUGUAUUUAUGAUGGAUGAGUUGACUGUGGUCUGGCCACUGCAUGCUGAAAAUACCUAUUAUAAUUGUGUCAGUCACCAGCUGAAAUAGAGAACCACCUGUGAAGAUGCUAUGUAAUCAGUCACCACAAUAGUUUGAGUACAUUUACAAUAAUAAUUUGCUAGCUAGCCAGGGUUUUGACAGUUGUUUGACAAUAUACUGUAACAGUUGAUUGUGGUCCAGGGCCAGCUUGCCCUAUAUGCAGACCAUGCACUACGCAUUGCUGACUUUAAAAAAUAAGGAAAACACUGUUGAGAGUUUGAAUAGUAGAAUUUCUGCAUAUUUCUUCCAUGCCUUCUUCACCCUCUACGGGACAGAAGGCCACAAUCCAACAUGAUGACCAAUAUUCAGUUUAUCUUAAAUUGCUUGUUCAGCUGAGGCACUAUACUGUACAUACUGUACAUGUAGCAGACAUGAGUCAGGCUCAUGGUCUCGUGAUGAGGUAGCCCUGCCUCACCCUUGGCCUUAGAGAGAGUAUCCUCUUGGUCUCACUGUCAAGGUGUUUUUCUCCUGUGGGAGACCCGGGUUCAGAUCCCGCCCGUUACAGUAGCCGUACUCAUUUUACCUUGCUGUAAAAUCAACAUGCCCUUCCCGGUGUUCUCCUGCACCCACCAAGGAGGGAUGUCUGUCAAACCCAUUUUGCCUUGGGAAUGUCUUCAUAGAGACUCCAAAUUCGUUAAUGGGAUAAUUUUACAAAAAUGUAACACAAUCUUAAUGAUUUUUGUUUAGUUUUUUACCUUGAAAGAAGUUGUCUGUCUUACAAUUUUAGUACAAACACGACGGAGGGGCCUGUGAAGUAAAUGUGUAAACAUUUCCUAAGAUAUCUCACACACUGCAAUCCAACUUCUAUUGCGCCAAUAUCACUUGAGAUAAGAUCUGGAUUUGACUUAAAACAUUUAGGAACGUAUUGUGUGCGUUAUUUACUUAACAGGGCUUUUCAUAGAGCUUGUACUAAAACUCUACUCGACCACAACUACAUUUCAAAAUUGACCACUCUUUCAUUUGAGGGGGCACGUAGCCUAGUGGUUAGAGCAUUGGGCCAGUAACCGAAAGAUUGCUAGAUCAAAUUCCCAAGCUGACAAGUUAUAAAUCUGUCGUUCUGCCCCAUAUCAAGGCAGUUAACCCACUGUUCCUAGGUCGUCAUUGUAAAUAAGAAUUUAUUGUUAUUUAGUUAAACAAAGGUCAUAAAAUUGUAAUGAGAUUUUUGACAAGGAUGACCUUUUUUUGGAGGUCAUUGCCUUGUCAAAUACUAUAUACAUAUCGACAGCAAUCUGGGGGGAAAAGUUUAAAAUAGCAGGACUGAUUAUAUACUGAACAAAAAUAUAAAGGCAACAUGCAAUAAUUUUAUUGAUUGUACUGAGUUACAGGAAAUCAGUCAAUUGAAAUAAAUUCAUUGAGUCCUAAGUCUAUGGAUCUCAUAUGACUAGGAAUACAGAUAUGCAUCUGUUCGUCAUAGUUUACCUUUAAAAUAAAUGGGCCUCAAUUGGCCUCAGGAAAUUCAUUAGGCCCUUAUCUAUGGAUUUCACAUGACUACGAAUACAAAUAUGCAUCUGUUGGUCACAGAUAUUAAAAUUGCAAUUGAUAAAAUGCAAUUGUGUUCAUUGUCCAUAGCAUAUGCCUGCCCAUACCAUAACUCUACCACCACCAUGGGACCUCUGUUCACAACGUUGACAUCAGCAAACCGCCCGCCCACACGAUGCCAUACACGUGGUCUGUGGUUGUGAGACCGGUUGGACGUACUGCCAAAUUCUCUCAAAUGACAUUGGAGGCGGCUAAUGGUAGCGAAAGGAACAUUCAAUUUUCUGCCCACAGCUCUGGUGGACAUUCCUGCAGUCAGCAUGUCAAUUGCACGCUCCCUCAACUUGAGACAUCUGAGGCAUUGUGUUGUGUGACAAAACUGUGGCCUAUUCUUGUCCCCGGCACAAGGUGCACCUGUGUAAUGAUCAUGCUAUUUAAUCAGCUUCUUAUAUGUCACCCCUGCCAGGUGGUUGGAUUAUCUUGGCAAAGGAUAGUUGCUCACUAACAGGGAUGCAAACAAAUUUGUGCACAACAUUUGAAAGAAAUAAGCGUUUUGUGCGUACGGAAAAUGUCUGGGGUCUUUUAUUUCAGCUCAUGAAAGAUGGUACCAACACUUUACAUGUUGCAUUUAUAUUUUUGUUCAGUGUACUUCCAUGUGCUUUUUACAGGCAGAACCGGAUAGUGACAUGCCCUCCCAGGUCUUCUCCUGCACCCUGUGCCCAUUCUCCCACAGGAGAGAGGUGAACCUUCAGCAGCACAUCAGAAAGGAACAUCUAACAGAGGAGGACAGCAGGAACUGGACUCUGGAGGAGCUGAGAACUCACUGCCAUCCAGUCAAACAAUACAGAGACCCUUAAUCAAGACAACCAAGAAGUACAUCUGCUUUAAAUGUGGAAAUGGUUUCAGAAGCCCAUCGGACCUGAAACGACAUAAGGGUGUUCACACAGACAUGCAGCCGUUCCAUUGCAACCAGUGUGAUAAAAGAUUCAAAGCGAAGGGUAGUCUAAAACAGCACCAACGAGUUCACUCAGGAGAAAGGCCUUAUGAUUGCUCACAUUGUGGCAGGAGGUUUAGGACAUCAGAUAUCUUAGUCUCAUUUACGCAUUCAUACUGGGGAGCGACCUUAUGGGUGUACAAUAUGUGGGAAGAUAUUUAUUCAACGGCAAGUACUAACAAGACAUGUCAGGAUGCACAGUGGAGAGAAACCAUACUUGUGUAGCAUUUGCGGAAUAACCUUCGCAUGCUCAGGGUAACUGAUGUUACACUCAAGGAUCUCCACAGGGGAACGACCGUAUCAUUGUGAACAAUGUGGGAAUACUUUGUCUAGCAAGUAAACUGAAAGUGCAUCAACGAAGUCAUACAGGCGAACGCCCAUACCCCUGUACACAGUGCCCCAAAGGCUUCUCCACCUCCACCAGACUAGUGAAAUACAUGCGAAUUCAUACUGGGGAGAGACCUUACCCAUGUGUAAAGUGUGGCAAAAGAUUCUCUGAAAGGGGAAACAUGAGAAUACAUCAAUGAAUGCAUGAAAAAGAGAGAAAAAGGCGACACCAAGCUGGAGAUUUUGCUCUGUAUAGUUCUCUGCUACAUUUUCAGGUGAUUAGGACAUAUUUGUAGAUCUUCUAAUUUGUCAUAAUACCAGGCGGUGUAACUUACUUCAGAGAUGAUUGGCAAAAUUUGUGCUCUAAUUAUUGUAACCAUUCUGUAAAAUGUUAAAGUUAUGUCUGGUUAUAUGCAAACAGAUUUGAUUUUACCCUGAAAAAAAUUCAGAGUUCAAUGCUACCCAGUUGGAAAACUAACAAUGGGCAAAAACACUUAUAAACCACAUUUCUAAUAUAGCAGGACAUCUUAAACAAUACCCUAAAAAAAAGUGUUUACACACCUGGCAC